CAUCCUCCAAGGCUAAAUACUCCUGACUGACCGAUAGUGAACCAGUACCGUGAGGGAAAGGCGAAAAGAACCCCGGCGAGGGGAGUGAAAAAGAACCUGAAACCGUGUACGUACAAGCAGUGGGAGCACAGGUUUACCUGUGUGACUGCGUACCUUUUGUAUAAUGGGUCAGCGACUUAUAUUCUGUAGCAAGGUUAACCGAUUA
rnacentral:rRNA from 1 species